CUGCAGUAUUCUGUUUUGAAUGUGGUCAACACUGAUUUUCUACUCUUGGGACUGCUUAUCUCCAGACCCAGGAUGCUUCCUUUAAACAUGGGUUCACUGGUAGUACAUCACUAGAAUUUCUGUUCAAUCAUAAAAGGAGUCAUUUAAAGGUCUUUGUUUUCCACUGUAUCUAGAACAUCAUGGUAGUACAACAUCCUUUUUAGCAAGGGCUUUUGGGGUAGGAUAUGUCUGUUUGGGAAAUUAGAUCAGGAUUCAUCUUCAAUUAACCAGAGUUACUAAAUGGCAUUCUGUGUUACUGAUGAUAUUUAAAGUUAAUGUUGGUAGUUGCUGUGUAUUGAAUUUGUGUUGUCUUUUUCUUUUAUGACAGAAUGCCAUGUAUUAAGUUGUAGGUCUUGUGAACCUUCUAGAAGGUAAUGGGGUAAACUGUCAUUAGUGCUAAGCGUUCAGAGUUAUUUAAUUAAAACAGCCUGUAUUGAAGUUAUUGUUCUUUUAUUUAUUAGUGAUGAACUUACACCACUGUAUGCUUUAGUGUUUUAUAGAUUGAUUAGGAUAAGCUGUUCUGUAACAGUCAUUCCUUUAUUCAUUCACUCAUAUUUUUCUGUUGCACACUUCAGAAGCUUCUUCUCAAAUUAUCUUGACACUCCUUUCCCAUUUGCCCUCGGUACAUUACAGUCCAGCUACUGCUUUAACCACAGCAUUGCCAUUGAUGGGAUUGUUCAUACCUCACCAAGUUCCUCUUCCCAGGUCCGUCUUUACCAUUUUAGAUGAUGAUAAGUGUGUUCUAUUCAUUCUCCCUUCUUGACCUUCCUCAUGCUCUUAGUUUUAUCGCUACACUUGCCCAUCUCUUCCAUUUUUAUACUUUCUUUCCUUUGCUCAGUACUUAACUAAGUUUCCAGAUAUCUGUCCUUAAACCACUUUCAUUUUCAUUUUCUACAGUCUUCCCUGACUUUCCUAACUAACUGCUGGUACUCAAAACCCUUUAUCACUGGCCCUUAUCUCUGCCCUUUGCUCAAAAUUAUUAUGUCCAGCAGGAUGUGGUCACGCACACCUGUAAUCCCAGCAACUUGGGACACUGAAUCAAGAGGACUGCAAGCUCAAGGACAUACUAGGCAUCUUAGCAAGACCUUGCCCCAAAAUAAAAAAUAAAAAAGGCUGGUGAUGUAGCUCAGUGGUAGAGGGUCCCUUGGUUCAAUUCCCCAUAAC
rnacentral:lncRNA from 1 species